UUUUGCAAAAUUAAUUAGCUGCUAUAUGGUAAACAGUACAUGUUCACAAGUGGCUGUAAAGGUGUAUUAUACCAGUAAUAGCUCUCUGGAAAAUUUUAAUCAACCAACUUCAAUAAGUGCUUCUGUAUUGAACUGACAUUCAGGAUGUCAUAAAGAUGUAUUUUAUCAUUAGGAAUACAAAAACUUAUGAAAAUAAUUUUUAUACCAUAUAGAUUUUCUAGAAUUAUUAUUUUUAUAGAAUAAAAGCAAAGGGGGACAACUCUUCAAGAAAAGGGAACGGUCAUUAAUAAGGACAUGUUCCACUGUUACAUGUUGAUACUUAUAUAUGAAAAUAAUGUCCAAGUAUACUAAUUACCGUAUUAAGUCCAUACAUAUCUGUUAUGAUCCCAGAUUCAUUGAAUCUGGGGCUAUUAUGGAUCGAAUACCUUAAAUGAAUGACAACUCUUGCAGGAAAGUGCACAAGGCCUCCAAAUCCAAAAUAUGACUAUGGAAGUUUUAUUGCCCAGACAUGUGAUUGUCUAGAACCAAUUGGAUGAUGCGUUAUAUAGAAUAUUCAUAUUGAGAGCUGCCAUGUCUUCUAAGAGAAACUCCAUUCUUUGAUGACUGAUGGAAAAGCCUCAUCACUUCCUUUGCUAAAGAACUUGUUAUCUUAAUCACUAGCCAUUAAUCAGUGACCACCGUUAUCAAAGCUUCCAGACACGCAUAAUGAUACAGCUUCCUGGAUCGUGUUGAGUUUGUUUUUCAACCUGUGAAACCCAUUUGUUUUUAGGGGUGGGUAUGCUUAUAUUUAAUUUUCUCUCCUAGAAACCAAGCAAGUCAUUAUUUUCCUGGUCUCAAGUUAGUCUCAAAGCAUUUAACAAUAAUUUCUAUUUCAUUUAUAAUAUACUGAGAGUUUAGUUAAUGAACUAAGGCCACAUAAAGUUGAAAUAAUGGUUCUCGGGUCAAAUUUUCUAGAAAUGGAUGUGAGAGGGAAGCAUUUUUGCCCUUUUUAUUGUUGAUGAAAUAGAUGAGGGAGGCUUUUUUUAAUAAUCAUCGCCCAUCUUGGGUUCCAAAAGCGUAUGUUUUAUAAAACUGUUAAAAUACAGGUUUCGUUGAUGCCACUUAUUCGUUUUCAUCACGAUGUAGCUCAUUUGUGGUCUUGCCUAAGUCUACAGAGACCGGAAUACUUAGAGUAUCUAACCUUUUUUU